AGCAAGGCCAGUUAUGAAAAUGUUUCUAAGAAGUGGAUUCCGGAGUUGAAACAUUAUGCACCAGGGGUCCCAAUUGUUCUCGUAGGAACAAAGCUUGGUAAAAUUUUCACUGUAUUGGUGUUUCCAAAUACAAAAAUGCUAUUGCAUUAGCUUUGGUGAUCUGUUCACAGAGUUGCAGAACAAUAUAUCAUAUGCUUAGUUGUCAUUUUUUUAUCUUUGUAUAUACUUAUUGUUUUUUUUUAAUAUACUAUCUAUGAUGAUUUGGUAUUGUCAACUACUUUUGUUCAUAAUUCCUACUUCUCUUCAAGUUUAAUUGGCUUUGCAUGAUCAUUAGAAGGUCCAAUAAUCUGCCAAUGCAUAAUUUGCUUAUAAUUAUUGUCCUUAUGUGCUGUUCAGGUAGUUCACUAUUCCAUAUCUGAUGAUGCAGACAGGAUUAGCAAUGCAUGUCAUACAUGUUUUUGCUGAUUGAUCAAUAUUUUGAGGACUGAUAUGCACAGACUUCUUGUUAGUAAUCAAUUUUCUAAUUUAUGGUUGCAAGUCAAUAAGUUGCUAAUCAAACUGAGUUGUCAUAGUUUAGCAUAGUAUAACACAAUUUUCAUUUUGUGAUUGAUGACAAGAGAAAAGGGUGCUUGGUAUAAAAUAACAAACAAAGGUUUUAAUAGCUGAUUAGUUGGUGGAUGGGUGGCCAUACUGGACAAGAUAAAGUCCGUAAUGAGAGUA
rnacentral:misc_RNA from 1 species